UCUCUGGAUCGUUAGCUUUGGCCAUUCUUCUGCACGGUGCAAGCCCUUAUCAUUCUAUCUUUUUAAGCUAACGAAGCGAAGGAGGGUUGCACUCAGGUCUAUUUUUCUUAAACCGGGUGGCCCGUGCGCCAACGCCGUUAUAGCUUCUUACAUAGACAAGGUAGCAGUGCGCAGACGAGGCCCCGGCCAGUGCCGGCACACGGUGUGAACACGACGCCAUCGUACCCGACGUGAACGGUGCACUGUGAUUAUUAGCAGAGAGACCUAGUUGCGCCGUCGGCCCAUAUCGGCAGCCCCCUCGUCACCCCGUUGGGUGUUUCUCCGUGAAAAAAAAACCGGGUAGUGGUAUUACAUUGAGAGCUAUUGGAAGAAAUGACUACAGCUAUAUGGCGAAGACCCGUGGGUAAACUAGAUGACUUAGGAAAUACAAUCGAAGUCAAAUGCAGAAAGCGUGUCUUUUGGCACUCGACUGCCGGAAAAACACCAGCCCAUUUCCAGGCCCGUCCAGGCGACAAAGCACAACAGGAGAAUGCUUUACGGUCUCCUCAGCAGUAAUCUGAACGGCAAACGUUUUGAGGUUUUGUUCUCAGCGGCCUAGUUCGUAACAUCCUAGCUGCUUCAUGCUUUGGUGUGCAUGAGGAAGAUGCUUCAUGCGGCGACCGUGGCGCUAACAGCAACACCCGGCAACACAGGUGGUCCCCGAUAAUCUUAUAAGAAACGUGUUUUGUCUGUCGGGAAUAAUGCUUCAUCCGUUAAUACUAGGUAUAGUGCAGAUUCCGGGCAGAGUCCGAGUAAAACAAGACGGUAUAAAUACGCUAAUAAAAAUUCAUGAAUAAACGGUAAAAAACGCCAGGUUUACAUUCAGGAAAAGUCCCGUCU
rnacentral:lncRNA from 11 species